CCUCGGCGGGAUCUCUGCCCCGGGUGCGUCGCAGCCCCGGACCAAGGCGCCCGCCGGAGGACCAACCAAAACUCUUAUUGUAUACCCCCUCGCGGGUUUUUUUAUAAUCUGAGCCUUCUCGGCGCCUCUCGUAGGCGUUUCGAAAAUGAAUCAAAACUUUCAACAACGGAUCUCUUGGUUCUGGCAUCGAUGAAGAACGCAGCGAAAUGCGAUAAGUAAUGUGAAUUGCAGAAUUCAGUGAAUCAUCGAAUCUUUGAACGCACAUUGCGCCCGCCAGUAUUCUGGCGGGCAUGCCUGUCCGAGCGUCAUUUCAACCCUCGAACCCCUCCGGGGGGUCGGCGUUGGGGAUCGGCCCUCCCUUAGCGGGUGGCCGUCUCCGAAAUACAGUGGCGGUCUCGCCGCAGCCUCUCCUGCGCAGUAGUUUGCACACUCGCAUCGGGAGCGCGGCGCGUCCACAGCCGUUAAACACCCAACUUCUGAAAUGUUGACCUCGGAUCAGGUAGGAAUACCCGCUGAACUUAAGCAUAUCAAUAAGCGGAGGAAAAGAAACCAACAGGGAUUGCCCCAGUAACGGCGAGUGAAGCGGCAACAGCUCAAAUUUGAAAUCUGGUCCCUAGGGCCCGAGUUGUAAUUUGUAGAGGAUGCUUUUGGUGAGGUGCCGCCCGAGUUCCCUGGAACGGGACGCCACAGAGGGUGAGAGCCCCGUCUGGCUGGCCGCCGAGCCUCUGUAAAGCUCCUUCGACGAGUCGAGUAGUUUGGGAAUGCUGCUCAAAAUGGGAGGUAUAUGUCUUCUAAAGCUAAAUAUUGGCCAGAGACCGAUAGCGCACAAGUAGAGUGAUCGAAAGAUGAAAAGCACCUUGAAAAGAGGGUUAAAUAGUACGUGAAAUUGUUGAAAGGGAAGCGCUUGUGACCAGACUUGGGCGCGGCGGAUCAUCCGGGGUUCUCUCCGGUGCACUUCGCCGCGUCUAGGCCAGCAUCAGUUCGUCGCGGGGGAAAAAGGCUUCGGGAA
rnacentral:rRNA from 1 species